rnacentral:miRNA from 1 species
CCGGGUCCUGGAUCUGGUCCGGGUCCGGGUCCAGGAUCGGGUCUGGGUCCAGGAUCUGGUCCUG